rnacentral:rRNA from 1 species
CAACUUUCAGCAACGGAUCUCUUGGCUCUCGCAUCGAUGAAGAACGCAGCGAAAUGCGAUAAGUAAUGUGAAUUGCAGAAUUCAGUGAAUCAUCGAAUCUUUGAACGCACCUUGCGCCCCUCGGCCGUUCCGAGGGGCAUGCCUGUUUGAGUAUCAUGA